UAGGGAAUCUUUGGCAAUGGACGGAAGUCUGACCGAGCAACGCCGCGUGAGUGAAGAAGGUUUUCGGAUCGUAAAGCUCUGUUGUUAGAGAAGAACGUUGGUAGGAGUGGAAAAUCUACCAAGUGACGGUAACUAACCAGAAAGGGACGGCUAACUACGUGCCAGCAGACGCGGUAAUACGUAGGUCCCGAGCGUUGUCCGGAUUUAUUGGGCGUAAAGCGAGCGCAGGCGGUUCUUUAAGUCUGAAGUUAAAGGCAGUGGCUUAACCAUUGUACGCUUUGGAAACUGGAGGACUUGAGUGCAGAAGGGGAGAGUGGAAUUCCAUGUGUAGCGGUGAAAUGCGUAGAUAUAUGGAGGAACACCGGUGGCGAAAGCGGCUCUCUGGUCUGUAGCUGACGCUGAGGCUCGAAAGCGUGGGGAGCAAACAGG
rnacentral:rRNA from 1 species